CUAAAUAACUACUACACUUCAUUCAACUAAUUCGCAUCUAUGCAGUUUGGGCAUAGGGUCUGAAUUGGAUGCACGCACACUUUGGGUUGUGUGUUUCUGAUCAAUCAUUAGCAUCUAAUGAGCAGCAGCACUUCUCAAUUCCGUUGGACAAUAUCCUACACUUGCAUAUAACUUGUUCAAUAUAAAAGUCUUCCUUCUGGUUAAACCAUAUGAUGAAAUAUCAAUGCAAUGCAACUUGCUAUGAUAUGAAGUAGUGAGCCCCAAGAGUUAAAUGAGGUGAAGGUGAGGCUCGCAUGUGCACCCUGAACCUGUGUGCAGAUCAAUAUAGCAGCAUUAAUCUUGCAAACUUUUCUUGCAAACUUGGCAGAACAUAGGGUGUCUCUUGAACAGAGCUUAUCAUCAAUGAACAAAUAUUGAGAUUUUUCAGUUUGUAAGAGUUUAGCCUUGCUUCAGCAUGUCUGUUCAUGGAAGCCAGUGUAGGCAAAUAUUGAACUCUACAUAGGACCUCUGUCUUUAACUUGAAAUGAGAAAGAAUUAGAACAAACUAUCAUAAGUUAGAAUUUGGUCCAAAUUUCAGUUAAAAGCUGAUCUACUCUUACAGGAAGUUCUUAAAUAAACAGAGCUGACUUAAAUUGUAGAUAAACUCUGAGAAUAAAAGUCAGAACUACUGGAGGCAUUUGAAAUUAUUCCUUUUUGCAUCAUCAUGCUUGUUAGUAGUCCAUCUGUUGGUGAUCUUGGUUGUUAUCCUAAAGCAACCUCCAUUCAGUUUGCUAUGAUUCAACAUGAUCUUGAUCAAUUUACAUUAUUUUAUAUAUAGUCCAGGAGCAUAUGUACGAUCGAGGCUAUUCUUUCAGUCUUAUUUCUCGCAGAAUCAGAGCAUUGAUUGUUUGCUUGGAAUUAUUCUUUCAGUCUGAAUUCUUACAGAUUCAAAACAUUCUUGCAUUGAUUAACAACCAGUAGAGCAAGUCCAAGCAGGCAGCCAUGAGGUGAUUCACUUGACCACUCGGCUGAUCUACUUCUCCAAAAAUGGGUUGGGCAAAGGUCUUAGUUGUUGCCACCCUAGAGGGCAAGCUGUAGGGUGUGGGAGCUGGAGUUCAACACGUAGGAGGACAUGGCCUCGCGGGUCACCCACAGCCCACUACUAGCUCACGCAAAUCCAACCGUGCGUGGUCUAAGGAGUGCAUUACUAUGUUCAGCAUGUAUGUUCAAACUUUUAAUUUUGUUGCUAGACUAAUGGCAGGAGAAAUAUUUUGAAACUUGAGAGCAUGGAGCCGUUUGACUGGCUAUUCUAGACCCGAGGAUCAACCAAGUGGAUAAAUAUUAUUUGCUAAGAUCAUUAUUCAGUAUUAAUGAUAUGUGUUAAGAUCUGGUUAGUGAGUGCUCAUGUUUGUUUGGUCUGCAAUACAAAUUUGUACAAUUGGGUGGAUAAAAUAGGUUCUGCUAUGAUCAGUGGUGAGCUAGAUUGACGCAGUGACAAUGGUUAGUGCAGCAUGACCUUGAGGCAAGUGCUGUUCAUUUCAACUUUUCAGAGUUAGUUUUAUUUUUUAGUCAUGUAAAUUGCCCUGAAACUUUUUAUGUGUUUCUUACUUGGAUGACAAUAGCAGGGGACACUCUCCAAUCUCUUCUUCUCAAGGAUAAAUAUAUUCAUCUUUUAAAUACCUUUUUUGAUGCAGCAUCUUUUAAAUAUCUUAAAGCUAAAUACAUUUCAUAUUCUGUAUUUCUUGGUGCAGGAGAUUUCAAGUGCCUCCACUGACCUGAUUGACAUCAAUGCAUGCAAUGUGAGUUUUUUUGGUUCAAUACCGGCAUGGACGAGGAUCAGCAAAAUGAUGCCUCCGAUAUGAUUAACUGAUCGAAUGCUGCUCAAUUAAUCUACUACCUCAAAUACUUGUCGCAAAUACUUUGAUCCAUCACAUAACACCAUUUCUGGUUAGUUGUAAGAACUCAGUUUUCUACUAUUACCUCAAUGGACAGUAUUAUUACUUGUUUCAAUUUGUGUGUAGCUGUGAAAGCAGCCUCUGUAUACCUUUGCAGUCAUCUCAGAACUGUGUGAUAAUAAAGUGUGCCCUCUUCGUA